rnacentral:rRNA from 1 species
UUGCAGUUAAAAAGCUCGUAGUUGGAUUUCUGCGGGGGCGGGGCGGCCGGUUGCUUAUAGCAACUCGAGCUAGCACUUCCCCUGCAUCCUGCCGCGAACCGUGCUACCAUUAGUUUGGUGGCGCCGGGGAUCGGCUCGUUUACUUUGAGAAAAAUAGAGUGUUCAAAGCAGGCCACACGCCUUGAAUAAGUUAGCAUGGAAUAAUGAUAAAGGACUUCGGUUCUAUUUUGUUGGUGUUCGGGACUGAAGUAAUGAUUGAUAGGGACAGUUGGGGCGGUCAGUAUUCCAAAGCGAGAGGUGAAAUUCUUAGACCUUCGGAAGACUAACAGCUGCGAAAGCGUUCCGCAAGGAUGUUCCCUUUGAUCAAGAACGAAAGUUGGGGGAUCGAAGACGAUCAGAUACCGUCGUAGUCUCAACUAUAAACUAUACCAGCUAGGGAUCGGCCAACGUUUACUUAUAUCGACUUGGUCGGCACCUUAUGAGAAAUCAAAGCAUCU